rnacentral:rRNA from 1 species
AUACGUAGGGGGCGAGCGUUGUCCGGAAUUAUUGGGCGUAAAGGGCGUGUAGGCGGCCUCACAAGUCAGGGGUGAAACCCCGGGGCUCAACCCCGGGCAUGCCUCUGAAACUGCGGGGCUUGAGUGCUCUAGAGGGCAGUGGAAUUCCCGGUGUAGCAGUGAAAUGCGUAGAGAUCGGGAGGAACACCAGUGGCGAAGGCGGCUGCCUGGGGAGUAACUGACGCUGAGGCGCGAAAGCUAGGGGAGCAAACAGGAUUAGAUACCCUGGUAGUCCUAGCCGUAAACGAUGAGUGCUAUGUGUGAGGGGUAUCGACCCCCCUCGUGCAGCAGUUAACGCAAUAAGCACUCCGCCUGGGGAGUACGGCCGCAAGGUUGAA